UACAGAGGUCUCAAGCGUUGUUCGGAUUUAUUGGGCGUAAAGGGUGCGCAGGCGGUGUGGUAAGUUUGGUGUGAAAUCCUGGGGCUCAACCCCAGAAUUGCACUGAAUACUGCCAUGCUAGAGGACUGGAGAGGAGAUUGGAAUUCCCGGUGUAGCGGUGAAAUGCGCAGAUAUCGGGAGGAACACCGGUGGCGAAGGCGGUUCUCUGGGCCUUACCUGACGCUGAGGAGCGAAAGCGUGGGGAGCGAACAGG
rnacentral:rRNA from 1 species